UAUGGCUGUUCGCCAUUUAAAGUGGUACGCGAGCUGGGUUUAGAACGUCGUGAGACAGUUCGGUCCCUAUCUGCCGUGGGCGUUUGAGAUUUGAGAGGAGCUGCUCCUAGUACGAGAGGACCGGAGUGGACGGACCUCUGGUGUUCCGGUUGUCACGCCAGUGGCAUUGCCGGGUAGCUACGUUCGGACGGGAUAACCGCUGAAAGCAUCUAAGCGGGAAGCCCCCCUCAAGAUGAGAUCUCACAAAUCUUCUAGAUUUCUAAAGGGCCCUCGUAGACUACGAGGUUGAUAGGCGGGAUGUGUAAGCGCUGUGAGGCGUUGAGCUAACCCGUACUAAUUGCCCGUGCGGCUUGACCAUAUAA
rnacentral:rRNA from 1 species